UACGUAGGGCGCAAGCGUUGUCCGGAAUUAUUGGGCGUAAAGAGCUCGUAGGCGGCUUGUCACGUCGGGUGUGAAAGCCCGGGGCUUAACCCCCGGGUCUGCAUUCGAUACGGGCAGGCUAGAGUGUGGUAGGGGAGAUCGGAACUCCUGGUGUAGCGGUGAAAUGCGCAGAUAUCAGGAGGAACACCGGUGGCGAAGGCGGAUCUCUGGGCAGUAACUGACGCUGAGGAGCGAAAAGCGUGGGGGAGCGAACAGG
rnacentral:rRNA from 1 species